rnacentral:rRNA from 1 species
UACGGAGGGGGCUAGCGUUAUUCGGAAUUACUGGGCGUAAAACGCACGUAGGCGGAUUAACAAGUCAGAGGUGAAAUCCCAGGGCUCAACCUUGGAACUGCCUUGAAACUGUUUCUCUUGAGGUCGUGAGAGGUGAGUGGAAUUCCGAGUGUAGAGGUGAAAUUCGUAGAUAUUCGGAGGAACACCAGUGGCGAAGGCGGCUCACUGGCACGAUACUGACGCUGAGGUGCGAAAGCGUGGGGAGCAAACAGG